UGGGGAAUUUUGGACAAUGGGGGCAACCCUGAUCCAGCCAUCCCGCGUGUGCGAUGAAGGCCUUCGGGUUGUAAAGCACUUUUGGCAGGGAAGAAACAGCCUGGGAUAAUACCCCGGGCGACUGACGGUACCUGCAGAAUAAGCACCGGCUAACUACGUGCCAGCAGCCGCGGUAAUACGUAGGGUGCAAGCGUUAAUCGGAAUUACUGGGCGUAAAGCGUGCGCAGGCGGUUCGGAAAGAGAGGUGUGAAAUCCCAGGGCUUAACCUUGGAACUGCACUUUUAACUACCGAGCUAGAGUACGUCAGAGGGGGGUAGAAUUCCACGUGUAGCAGUGAAAUGCGUAGAGAUGUGGAGGAAUACCGAUGGCGAAGGCAGCCCCCUGGGAUGAUACUGACGCUCAUGCACGAAAGCGUGGGGAGCAAACAGGAUUAGAUACCCUGGUAGUCCACGCCCUAAACGAUGUCAACUAGCUGUUGGGGUUUAUUAACCUUAGUAGCGCAGCUAACGCGUGAAGUUGACCGCCUGGGGAGUACGGUCGC
rnacentral:rRNA from 1 species